rnacentral:rRNA from 1 species
CAAAUUUGAAAUCUGGCGCCUUCGGUGUCCGAGUUGUAAUUUGAAGAUUGUAACCUUGGGGUUGGCUCUUGUCUAUGUUUCUUGGAACAGGACGUCACAGAGGGUGAGAAUCCCGUGCGAUGAGAUGCCCAAUUCUAUGUAAGGUGCUUUCGAAGAGUCGAGUUGUUUGGGAAUGCAGCUCUAAGUGGGUGGUAAAUUCCAUCUAAAGCUAAAUAUUGGCGAGAGACCGAUAGCGAACAAGUACAGUGAUGGAAAGAUGAAAAGAACUUUGAAAAGAGAGUGAAAAAGUACGUGAAAUUGUUGAAAGGGAAGGGUUUGAGAUCAGACUCGAUAUUUUGUGAGCCUUGCCUUCGUGGCGGGGUGACCCGCAGCUUAUCGGGCCAGCAUCGGUUUGGGCGGUAGGAUAAUGGCGUAGGAAUGUGACUUUACUUCGGUGAAGUGUUAUAGCCUGCGUUGAUGCUGCCUGCCUAGACCGAGGACUGCGAUUUUAUCAAGGAUGCUGGCAUAAUGAUCCCAAACCGCCC